CAGGAUUUGGGGUCUGUGGGGUGGACCCAAUCUAAUCAUCAGCUCCUGAAAAAUGGAAAACCUUUUCCAACUGGUGAGAGGGAGAUGUGACAGUGAAGGCUCAGAGGGAGAUGCACUAUUGCUGGCCUUGAAGAUUGAGGAUGGAGUCAAGAGCUAAGGAAUGAACAGGACCUCCAGAAGCUAGAAAAGAAAAUGUCUGCCAAAUACACAAGUCUGAAUCACUUCAGGUUGUCCGUCAUAUUUUCAAGAUGGUGCUCUAUGCAAAAAACAGUACAGGUUACGACUCACAAAAUGACGUAAGUGCUUUUCUUGGAGACAACCAAGAUACUUCAAAUUGUAGCAGAAAUGCUUUAUGCCUACGUCCCGUGGCAUCACACACAAUAUUAAAAACAGUACAGGAUCAAGGGCAGAGAUUAGAUGGAAUUAAUAAUUUUUACUGCUCACGCCUGUAAUCCCAGCACUUUGGGAGGCCGAGGUGGGUGGAUCACGAGGUCAGGAGAUCGAGACCAUCCUGGCUAACAAGGUGAAACCCCGUCUCUACUAAAAAUACAAAAAAUUAGCCGGGCGCGGUGGCAGGCGCCUGUAGUCCCAGCUACUCGGGAGGCUGAGGCAGG
rnacentral:lncRNA from 10 species